UACGUAGGUGGCAAGCGUUGUCCGGAUUUACUGGGCGUAAAGGAUGCGUAGGCGGAUAUUUAAGUCAGAUGUGAAAUUCCCGAGCUUAACUUGGGAGCUGCAUUUGAAACUGGGUAUCUAGAGUGUGGGAGAGGAAAGUGGAAUUCCUAGUGUAGCGGUGAAAUGCGUAGAGAUUAGGAAGAACCCCAGUGGCGAAGGCGACUUUCUGGACCAUAACUGACGCUGAGGCAUGAAAGCGUGGGGAGCAAACAGG
rnacentral:rRNA from 1 species